rnacentral:rRNA from 1 species
GUCUUAUUGAUUAUAAUUUUAAGUCUAAUCUGCCCAAUGAGUAAUUAAAUGGCUGCAGUAUUUUAACUGUACAAAGGUAGCAUAAUAAUUAGUUUCUUAAUUAGGAACUGGAAUGAAUGAUUGGACGAAAUAGUGACUGUCUUAGUUUAAAUUUUAGAAUUUUAUUUUUGAGUUAAAAAGCUUAAAUUUUUUUAAAAGACGAGAAGACCCUAUAGAAUUUUAUAUUAUUUGAAUAUUUUGUUAUUAGGAUUUUAAUAUAGAAUUUUUUAAUUAGUAUUUAGUUGGGGUGAUUGAAAAAUUUAAUAAACUUUUUUUUAUUAUUAACAUUAAUAUAUGAUUAUAUGAUCCAGUUUUUCUGAUUAUAAGAUUAAAUUACCUUAGGGAUAACAGCGUAAUUUUUUUAGAGAGUUCUAAUCGAUAAAAGAGAUUGCGACCUCGAUGUUGGAUUAAAGUUUAUUUUUAAUGUAGGAGUUAAAAUAUUAGGUCUGUUCGACCUUUAAAACUUUACAUGAUCUGAGUUUAAACCGGUGUAAGCCAGGUUGGAUUCUAUCUUUAAUUAAAUUAAAUGUUUUAGUACGAAAGGACCAAGUAUUUGUUAUAAUAAUUUUAUUAGAA